rnacentral:lncRNA from 1 species
CUUUAGGAAGCAUCAGGAAAUGGGGUGUCUGGCAUCAGCGCCCCUCACUACCCCCACUCUCUCCACGCCGAAGGGACCACUUGUUCCGUGGCUGACGGCGGCGGCCGCCUGCAACUGGGAUUGAGGCUGAGAGCCAGCCGGGGCCACGGCGGCAUCUGCCAGGGAGCGUGCAGGUGGGCGCAGCCUCGGAAGAAACUUUUAAGCAGGACCAAAUCACUCAUAUGUGAGCCAGUUGUGACCUGGGCCUGAUCCACUCUGCAUCAUUGCAGAUACCAAGCACUGUUACCAGUUGUCCACAUGAAAGAUGCUGCAGCAGGGAAUACACUCUUGAGCACCAACUGAUACUCAGGUCAUGUUCUUUACGUGCCCCAGUGGGAGCCAACUCCUGCUGUUGAUGUGGAGUACCUACAAGAUCAAAACAUCCUACAAUGUUGAGCCUCUACAAAAAAAGAAUGGACUCACCAGAUUGUCUUGCAGAUACAAAGGAAGCUGCAAAUGCAAGAAAUAAACAUCUGUCUUGUUAAAUCACAUCGAAUUGAUGAUAUUUAUACUGUAUCUUAACCUGGCCUGUCUUGAUAAUACACUAUAUAGUAGCAGUGAUGUGCAGAUUAUCUUGCAAAAUAAGGAUGAUCUUAAGUCAUCAGAGGAAGCGGGGGGAG